AGAGUUUGAUUCUGGCUCAGAACGACGCUGGCGGCAUGGAUUAGGCAUGCAAGUCGAACGAAGCAGCAAUGCUUAGUGGCGCAAGGGUGAGGAACACGUGAGUGACCUACCCGCAAGUUUUGGAACAGCUCCUGGAAACGGGAAUUAAUACCGGAUGUGAUCGAUGAACUGCAUGGUUUAUUGAUUAAAGCAGCAAUGCGCUUGCGGAUGGGCUCGCGUCCCAUUAGCUAGUUGGUGAGGUAACGGCCCACCAAGGCCCAUGAUGGGUAGCUGGUCUGAGAGGACGACCAGCCACACUGGGACUGAGAACUGCCCAGACUCCUACGGGAGGCUGCAGUCGAGAAUUUUGGGCAAUGGACGAAAGUCUUGACCCAGCAAUGCCGCGUGCGGGAUGAAGGUCUUCGGAUUGUAAACCGCUGUUUGGAGGGACGAAAAUUGACGGUACUUCCAGAGGAAGCCACGGCUAACUACGUGCCAGCCGCGGC
rnacentral:rRNA from 1 species